rnacentral:lncRNA from 1 species
GGCCAGCAAGCUGACUCUGUGCAGAUAGGCUCAUGUUGUCAAGACUGACAACCCAAGUUCAAUUCCUGGAACCCACUGAGUGGAAGAAAGACUGACUUCCGCAAGUCAGUUCUUUACACACACGAUUGUAAGUGCAUGCCCACACAGUGACAAAUGAGUAUAUCUAGCAAAAAUAGUUGGGAUUUUGUUUUGUUUUGAGACAGGGUCUCUGUAUAGCCCUGGCUGUCCUCGAAUUCGUGCUGUAAACCAGGCUGGCCUCGAACUCAGAUCCUCCUGCCUCUGUCUUCCAAGUGCUGGGAUUAAAGGCAUGCACUACCACUGCCCAAGAGAAAAUUUAAAAUGUUAAUUAAAGGAAAUAGAAAUCCUCACUCACCCCUUUUAGGAAAUAAAAUGUGUACAGUUGCAUGGGAAUCUGCUUUGUAAUCCACAACCGUGAGAUGGAGUUGGCCUGGGAACCGGCGUUGUGACUCAGAACCUCACUGCUGGCGGCUGGGCUCCCAGGCUUGCUUAUGUGUGUUCCUGGCUUUGUAGCUGACCCUGGUUGAAAGGUAGACACAUCCCAAAUGUCCAUCAAUAGAUCAAUGGAUCAACACCUGUGGGAUGUCCAGAGUGGACUAUUGCUCAGCCACGAACAGGAAUGAAGCACUGACACAGGCUACCAUACCAGAGAUUGAGUGGCAGCAGCCAGACACAAAACACUUCACUUGGCAGGAAGUGUCCCCAACAGGGACAGCCACAAAUGGAGCUGCCAGGGCCUUGAGGAAUGAUUGAUAGGAGGGACUCUCUUAAAGAGAUAGAAUGCUUCCAAACUAGAUAGAUAUAGGCAGGGUUGCUCUGUAAAUGUGCUUUAAAAACAAACACAAAACAGCGAGUAAAAACUGGAUACUCU